GCCACAAGCUGGGCGGCACUUGCGUAAAUGUCGGAUGUGUCCCCAAAAAGGGAAAAUAGAAGUUUUUCUCCUGGAGAGACAUGUCAAGAUUGUCAGAUGUUUUUAUUUGUUUCAUUUCAUAGGUGCGAGUUUUUGUUUUUAAGCACAGACAUUGAUUUCUCUGUACAUCGCCCAUAUUAAAAUCAUGAGUCACGUGACUUUGGGUAUCUUAUGUCAACUCUAAGAUUGAUUUCUCAAGUUACUUGAUGGCACUUUUUAUUUGUUGUUAUUGUUUGUUAACCCUCACCCGAGGAUAUUUUUUCCAUUGCUU